rnacentral:rRNA from 1 species
UACGAGGGGGGGCAAGCGUUGUUCGGAAUUAUUUGGGCGUAAAGGGCGCGUAGGCGGUGCGGUAAGUCACCUGUGAAACCUCUGGGCUCAACUCAGAGCCUGCAGGCGAAACUGCCGUGCUGGAGUGUGGGAGAGGUGCGUGGAAUUCCCGGUGUAGCGGUGAAAUGCGCAGAUAUAGGAGGAACACCGGUGGCGAAGGCGGAUCUCUGGGCCUAACUGACGCUGAGGAAGCGGAAAGCUG